rnacentral:SRP_RNA from 1 species
GCUGGGCGUGGUGGCAGGCGCCUGUAGUCCCAGCUGCUUGGGAGGCUGAGGCAGGAGAAUGGUGUGAACCCGGGAGGUGGAGCUUGCAGUGAGCUGAGAUCGCGCCACUGCACUCCAGCCUGGGUGACAAGAACAAAACUCCAUCUUUUUUUUUUUUUUUUUUUUGAGGCGGAGUCUCGCUCUGUCGCCCAGGCUGGAGUGCAGUGGCCGGAUCUCAGCUCACUGCAAGCUCUGCCUCCUGGGUUCACGCCAUUCUCCUGCCUCAG